GGAUUGUGGCUCAGUGGUAGAGCACUCGCCUAGCAUGCGUGAUGAGCUGGGUUCGAUUCUCAGCACCA
rnacentral:tRNA from 1 species